rnacentral:sRNA from 1 species
AACCCCCAGCUAGGCUGGGGGUUCAGUAAAGCUUUCAGCUUUGGGGUCAGUUAUAAAAACCC